rnacentral:rRNA from 1 species
ACUGACAGAGCCAGCGAGUUUUUCACCUUGGCCGGAAGGUCUGGGUAAUCUUGUGAAACUCUGUCGUGCUGGGGAUAGAGCAUUGCAAUUAUUGCUCUUCAACGAGGAAUUCCUAGUAAGCGUGAGUCAUCGGCUCGCGUUGAUUACGUCCCUGCCCUUUGUACACACCGCCCGUCGCUACUACCGAUUGAAUGGCUUAGUGAGGUCUUCAGAUUGGCUUCGGAGGUUCGGCAACGACCCACUGUUGCUGAGAAGUUGAUCAAACUUGGUCAUUUAGAGGAAGUAAAAGUCGUAACAAGGUUUCCGUAGGUGAACCUGCGGAAGGAUCAUUACUGAACUGUCGACACGAGUUGUUGCUGGUCCUCAAAUGGGGGCAUGUGCACGCUCUGUUUACAUACCCACUCACACCUGUGCACCCUUUGUAGUUCUGUGGUGUGGGGGACUCUGUCCUCCCCACCGUGGUUCUACGUCUUUACACACACACAGUCUCAUAGAAUGUAUGUCGCGUUUAACGCAAUACAAUACAACUUUCAGCAACGGAUCUCUUGGCUCUCGCAUCGAUGAAGAACGCAGCGAAAUGCGAUAAGUAAUGUGAAUUGCAGAAUUCAGUGAAUCAUCGAAUCUUUGAACGCACCUUGCGCCCUUUGGCUAUUCCGAAGGGCAUGCCUGUUUGAGUAUCAUGAACACCUCAACUCUCAUGGUUUGCCAUGAUGAGCUUGGACUUUGGGGGUCUUGAUGGCCUAUGGUCGGCUCCUCUCAAAUGAAUCAGCUUGCCAGUGUUUGGUGGCGUCACAGGUGUGAUAACUAUCUACGCUUGUGGUUUUCCAUCAGGCAACCUUCAGUGAUGGAGGUUCGCUGGGGCUCAUAAAUGUCUCUCCUCAGUGAGGACAGCUUUUUGAACGUUUGAUCUCAAAUCAGGUAGGACUACCCGCUGAACUUAAGCAUAUCAAUAAGCGGAGG